rnacentral:rRNA from 1 species
CAGCCGCCGCGGGAAUACGUAGGGUGCAAGCGUUAAUCGGAAUUACUGGGCGUAAAGCGUGCGCAGGCGGUUAUAUAAGACAGAUGUGAAAUCCCCGGGCUCAACCUGGGAACUGCAUUUGUGACUGUAUAGCUAGAGUACGGCAGAGGGGGAUGGAAUUCCGCGUGUAGCAGUGAAAUGCGUAGAUAUGCGGAGGAACACCGAUGGCGAAGGCAAUCCCCUGGGCCUGUACUGACGCUCAUGCACGAAAGCGUGGGGAGCAAACAGGAUUAGAUACCCGCGUAGUCCCUGUCUCUUAUAC